rnacentral:tRNA from 1 species
GCCGACCUAGCUCAUCUGGUAGAGCAGCACACUCGUAACGUGCAGGUAGUGGGUUCGAGUCCCACGGUCGGCU